rnacentral:lncRNA from 1 species
UAGAAGAUUGUAAUUUAUAAAUAGGUACAUGUAUUUUGAAAAGCACAAAGGUGAAUGAUUAGAUAGUUGUUAAGACGUAAAUGAUUCGGUAGUUGUUAUUAAGACGACAUUAAAAGAAUAUGUGUCAUAACGAUUACUAAGAUGCUGAUGCACAUAUAUUUUUGUCCGAAAUGUCGAUUCUACAUAAUUAAGUUAAAUUUUGUACUCGCAAAUUUUCAAAAUAUGUAAUAAAAUGAUCGAGGGUGAUAUUCUACAUUGUAUUCACGUACGAUAUUUUAACGUUUCAUAAAUGGGCUAUAUUUUAUCUAUAAAAAUUGUGUUAUAGAGAGAUUAGGCUAAAUGGCUUGUAAAUGGUAAAGGAGAUCUAGUAUGCAUUGUAACUUGAUCAACAAAUUUUUUUACAAAAAAUUGUAUAUGUAUUAUUCUAUCAGUAGUUACAAUCUAGCUAGUAAAUUAUAUACUAUUUUAAGUUAUCGUUCAAUGUUUGAUUUGCAUUACCUUAAGCAUCAAUCAUCCAUUAAACCAUAAUAAGCCUGAGAAUUAUCAAGUAUAAUAAUGAGCCAUAUUGUUUCUAGCGUACGCAUCACUCAUCCACAACGAUUCAAGCUAUACAUUGUUGGUCACUUUUGGGGUCCAUGUGUAGUCGGAUAAGAUAUUUUGACUAUAUUAUUAUGCGAGCAAUAUUUAAUAUUUAUGAGUCAAAACUAUUUUGGCAAAAUGGUUUGAUUGGUCAAAGAAAAGUUAUAAAAAAAAAAAAAAAAAAAAAAAAAAAAAAAAAAAAAAAAAAAAAAAAAAAAAAAGUUACAGAGAAAAAAGAAGAAGAGUCUAUUGGUUGGACAUGACAGAUCAUAUUCAAAUAUGCAAUUAAAUAGUUUAUCUAAUCGUUAAUAUGAUGAAAUUUGACAUUAACAAAAAAGUGUAUAAAUUAAAAUAAAACAAAAGUUCAGAAUGUGACGUGGGAGACAUUUUGCUUUAGCCUUAAAGAAAGAUUUGGUGAUUGGAGGAUUUCUAGGGCUUUUCUGGCAUGUAAAUGGGGUUGGCCUUGCCAUGCACCACUCUCGUAUGUGCAUUGUCAUUUCCACGUAUUACUAUAAUAAAACCAAAAAUAUAUAUAUUAAAGACAUUCUCAUAGAUAGAAAACAAACGGGGAUGUGCAUUUAGUCAAGUGGUUAAGUCCACUUGACUCCGCCUUCCCCACCGGAGUUCGACUCCACUAAGUCGCGUUACCCCGCGUAGUAGGGAUUGGCUAUGGAUCGGGCCUUGUCGAUCCAAAGAUGUCAAAAAAAAAAAAAAAAAUAGAAAACAAACUUUUCACUUAUAUAAAUUUUUAUUAGAAAUAGAUAGUGUAAUGGGGAAAUACAUUUAAUCAAGUGGUUAAUGGUUCAUACAUAUAUACCAUAUUUCUAUCAUUGACUCCACUAAAUUACGUUAUUUCGAAUAACAAAAAUUAAAAAAAGUAAAAAAUAAAAUAAAUAUUGGAUUAAGGAUCAAACUUUGAAAAAUUGAAUGAUGUAAAAAAGAUAGAUAGUAUAAUUGUUAUUACUUUUUUUUCACUGAAAAAUUGGCAAUUUAUUGAUUAUGUUCACAUAGACUGAAGAGACCAAUAUUUAAUAUGGACACUAUUAAAAAUGACGUAUUUAGGAAAAAUAUUGAUUAUUAAAUAAGAAAACUUUAUUUUGUUGCCAAAAAAGAAAAGAAGAAAAUUUAACUUUUUAUCCUAGGAUUCUUUUUUAUUUUCAUUUUCUUCUUAGUUUUACAUUGAUUUAUUUCUUAUAUAUCUUAAACUCUUGUUUAUAUCUUGAAAUUGUCAAAAUUAUUUAUAAAAAAGAAAGCAAAAAGGAAAAUUUCAUUAACAAAAUGAUUGGGAGGGGUAAAACUAAUUUUGAGAGGUUUCUCGAAUGUUCAUCUCCACGUGUCCCGAUUCAAUAUUAUACUCAGGUAACUUAUAUUUAAUUGUUUGUAUUUUUCUUAUUUUUACAUAAAAAUUGUUUGAACGAACAUUCUCGAAUCUAAUUUCGAGAGCUUUCUCGAACGUUCAUUUCUACGUGUCUUGGUUCAUUAUUAUAUUCACGUAAUAUUAUAUUCAAACAUUUGUUUUUAUUUUUUAUGAAAAAAUUGUUUGAACGAACAUUCUCGAAUCUAAUAGAUUCGAGAACUUUCUCGAACGUUCAUCUCCACGUGUCUCAAAUCAUUAUUAUAUUUAUUUAUCGUUAUAUUAAAUUUUUUUAUUUUUCACUAUUUUCUACAAAAAUGUUGUUUGAACGAACAUAUUGAAUCCAACAAAAAUAAUCUAAUUAAUUUCACUUACAGAAAUUUGAAGGAACAACUAAAAUUUACAAAAACAAAAACCAUUUUUAAGAAGCAAAGGAAAAUUAAAUCAAAAUAAAUUAUCAAAAAGAUAAAAGGAACAAUUAAUCAGACACACCAACAUGUUUCUUCAACUGAUUUUCUUGGGUUAAUUAUUCUCUGGUAAUCUGGUUAGUACCCCGUUUACUGUAAUAGAUCUCGUUUCAAUUCUCUUGAUGGAUCUAGCAUAGCAUGUGUUCUGGUAAUUUUGAUUUUUCUUUCUUUGCUAAUAAACGAAAACGAAUUAGAUUGGUCAAAAGUCUGAAAGAUAGCCACAGUGGUAAAAAGACUAAUUAAUUACGUUUAAUUAGUCGUUGGCAUUAUUACCAAGAUUGUAUACUUUCUGCUUUUUUUUUUAAUUAUAAGAUCUUAGCCAACAUCGACUAGUUUUUUUUUUUUUUUUUUGAUUAGUUUUUGAUUAAUCCAUUUCUAAUAUUUUGCAGAAACAAUUCAAAAAAUCUGUCUUUUCUAUUUAAAUCAGAAAAAGUAAAUAAAUAAAUAAAAGUUACAAACAUGGGGUAAUUUAGAUUAAUUAUCUUUAACAAGAAAAUUUUAGAUUAAAUUAUAAAAUUGAGGGAUCAGUUUCAAUAUUUCUUUUGAAUAAAUAAUCCUUAAUAAUCAUAACUUUAAUGGAUUAUUUAUCCAGAUGUUAAAUCGUAAAAGUUAAACAUAAAUAAAUGAAAAUUCAAUGGUUAAUUUAGUUUAAUUAUAAUACUGAGGGAUCAGUUUAAAACAAUAGAAACAAUAGGGGCCCUUUUUCGAAUUAUGUCUUAUUCCAACCCGGUUUAAGGAUCCGAAUAGUGUAGUCGGGUUAGAAUGUAAACCCCAAUUUCAAAAUCUGUUUGUAGAGAGAGGGAUCGUCUUCUUCAUCAUCAUUAGCUUUAGGAGCUAUUGAAGAAGAAGAAGUGAGAAAGCCUCGCAUCGUCCUCGGAGAUAUUUGGUCUGCCUGUGCCGACUGGAGCGCUGAUGGUCUCCAAGUUCCUCUUUCGCUGGAAAACUUCGACUCCGACGUUAAACAUCACUAUCUUCCUUCACUCUCCGCCAUUCAGAUCUUCACCAUCAAACCCUUCUCUGAUGAUUCAAGGUUCGAUUUCUGUUGUCUCUCACUACCAUUUUGUGUCUUAUUGCUUCAUGGGUAAUAAGAUUUGAUAUGAAAGUAUGUGCCUUUAUUACAAAGGCCUUUGUUUGGGUGGGUCUAGCUUUUGGCUUAAGAGCUAGAAAGUUUAUGCCUUUUUUGGAGUUUCUCAAGAUUCUUCUGUGUUUACUUACAUUGCUAACGUUUUUCUUCUGGUUUAUGAUUAGAAAUUUGGCUAUUGUAGUGUAGUUCUUUCAAGUAAUUUGAUUCUGAAUGUAGGAGCUCUGCCAUUGAGAUAGAUGCUACAGAGACAGGCUCUGCUAAACCUGAGUCUGACAGCAACUUUAAGCCUCGGUUUUCCGAUGAUCACUUGGGGUACCUUUAUUUUCAAUAUGAUGAGAUAACAUUGCCAUUUAAGAGGACUACUCUAACUUUCAAGGUAUCUUAUAAUUAUCUUUAUUUCCUUUUUGAUGUUGGAUUGGUUCUCCAAAUUCAUUGGUUAAUGAAAAGUGUAUUUUGUAGAUGGAGGAUUUAGCUGCGCAGCACACUGGACUGUCUAGUUUGACGAGUUCAGAUCUUUCUCCAUAUAGCUGGAUUUCGAUAGCUUGGUAUGUCGAGUUUCUUACUAUCUUAUUCAGAUUUAGCCUGUUCUUACUUAUUUCUUGAAUGAUUAAUUAAUUGCUCACUGUGCCCCCAUGAGAGAUAUUUCUAUAUUAGCCUGUCGUUUCACAACAACUUUCUUUCAUAUGAUUCAUGCAUUCUUCCCAUGAUGUGUGUAUAUUUGAUGUUAGUUGUUGUCUUACUCCAAAUAAAUGACUUUAAAUCGUAACUGCUAUAAUGUUGAAUUGGAGUUUGGAAUUAUUGUAGGUAUCCCAUUUAUCCAAUUCCAUCAGUGAGAAUGAACGGAAUAUCUGCCGCUUUCCUAACGUACCAUUUAUUGACGCCAAACUUUCCAGGUACUUUGGUCAUUUGAGAAUUAACAUUACCUUUUCAACCCAAGCAUGUUUAUGAAAAAUUAAUUAUAUGUAAAAGCUAUAAUAAAGUUGUGCCUGCUAAAUUAUCUUACAUGUGCUUUUGAGUAUUCAAGUGUUUUGUAAAGUAAUACUUUGACAUGUUUAUACAUAUAGUUCCGGUACUUUGUUCUUGUUAAGUUGUAUGUUACUUUGGCAAAAUGUAUCGAGAUUGGUUGAUUUCUAGUACUACUUUAUUCAUGGAAGAAUUUAGGGAUUAUGACUGUAUAUACUUAUUUAGGGCUCUUUAUUUAAUAAGCUAUUGAAAGGCAGUAGGUAUUUCCUAGUUGGCUACGCCAAUGGUAACGAGGUUCCUUUUGGGGAAUUUACCUUGUAGUCUCUUUUCUAUGCAUAUGCGAUAAGGAGUUAUAUUAUUGGUAGAAAAAAGUACCCUGCAAAGGUAGUUGUAGAUGUUCUUUUCAAGUCUUUACUCUAUCACAGUGUCCCUUGGAUAUAGAUAAAAGUCAUGCAUCUGUUAUGGUAUUAAUUUCUUGUGGAUUAUAAGAGAUGGAGAAGUUGCAUCUUUGGCGCAAAGGUCUUACCAAUCCUAGCCUCUAUUUUGUCUGCAUAAAAGUCUUAUCUUAAGUUUCUAAGUACGUCUUCCUGUUUAUACAGACAUUUCCUUUUAGCCUGAGCUUGAUUCUAUUAUUUUCUUAGAGCAGAAUCAGUUUUUUAGUAAGUACAACUAGUCAACUUCUGGUGAUCGUAUUGGUGUUAAAUAAUAUCAUAAGCUUUUUGGUUUUAUAAUCAAGUGUUUAAUUGAUUACAUUUUCCAUGUUUCUUAAUCAUUAUUUUGUUAGAUCUAAACUAGUUUUUUGCUUGUGAUUUCUCAGAAACAAUUGGUAAAGAUGAUAAGGGGAAUGAACAAGGAGGGUCAAGUACAGCAGAAGUUCUACUUCCUCCAUUCGGAGCAGUGACUUACAAGGCCUUUGGUGAUAUGUGGAUCAUGCCUGGGACAUCAGAUUAUCAGAAGAGAGAGAUGCAUGAAGAAUCUGCUUCCUCAUGGCUGCAAACACGCGGCUUCUCUCACAGCGAUUUCAGCUUCUUCAUGUCCCAUAAGUUUAAUGGUGGGCCCUACUGAUGCCAUCUUGCUGGUGAAAUGCUAAGCCUAGCAAUGGAGUCUUGUCAUCGUAUGAAAACAUUUCUGCUGUAAAACAUGCUCUAUCUCUCUAUCUCUGACUUUGGUGCUGUCUUUGGCUUCUGCUGUUCUUUACUUUUGAGGAUUAUUUUUCUUUAAAUUUGUCAAGAGGAUGAUUUUACUUGCUAGUAUUUUGGGUCAACAAAACUAAAGGCUCUAUUUUAUAAGAUUUUCAUCUGUUCAUCUCGGAAUGAAGUCUUGAACAUAUCUGGUACGUCUUAGGAUAUAUGGUAUGUGAACAUAUCUCAAACUAGAACACUGAAACAACAAAAUUUAACUCCUCAGUCCUUAAUAUAUGUGAUCUUACGUUUGCCAAAUGAAGAAAGACAAACUUGUAUUUGUCAAACUGGCUAGUUAAAAGUAAGAAAACAUGACUUUACGCAAUUUACUUUUGAUGAAACGAGUUUGUUCGUCUCAUAUUUAUGAAUAAACCCGAAUCUUACUUAAAAUGGAAAAAAAGAACAAAAAAAAUCUAAUAUGAAAAGAAUAUGUCUAGAAAGAGAGACAGUGCGUGUGAGACAGAAAUGAAAAGUGUCAUUUCUUCUUCUUCUUGCUAUCUUCGGCUCUAAUGAGCUGAACAGGAGCUGCGGGUACCCUAAACCACCAUUCUCUUAUCCGCCUCUCUAGCCGGUCACUACUCGCUUUCCUCCACCCAGUUUCCCUCGUGAACCACUCUACAAAUGCAAUCGUAAUUAAGUACUUCACCGGAACAACCGCCAAUAUAACCGCCACAACCACAAGCGAUAUAGCCGUUGUAUCUGUAGCCUGAAAACAUAUUAGAGAGACAAGAGAGUUACUAUUAACCGCAGACACCUAUUUAUCCUAGCCAUCAUCAUCAUGUUCUGAUAUAACAUUAUACCUGAGGAAGAAUUGCAAGAGUAAUGGCUCUUAUUUUGAGGAGACCAACGUUAACAGCUUGGAUUAGCGACUCGAACUGGCUAAUUGCAUCUUGUAGUACGAGUAGCUGCUCCACUGCGUUUUUACUUGGUGGAGCUUUCACUCGAACAGCUUUUGGUUCUUUCCCUUUGUUGAAUUGCUUUCGCCACAGCAUUACUAUAGCCACUAGGACUAAUAUGGACGGUAGUAUUAAACCGAUCCACUCACUGCACAACAUAACAAGAUUGUUGGUGUCAUCACAUUUAUCACAUGUCUUUCUGUAACAAAUCAAAACAUAGCUAUCUGUGAUGGAACUCUCAUCAUUCUUUGUCAUCAUGUCUUUGAAGAUGAAAUCAUACCUGAUAAUCAAAUAGCUGACCAAGAUCAUGAACACCGUUGAUUUAUAAGGAUCUUGCCAAUAGGCUAAGAGAUUUAUAUGCAAGCCUAGUUUGAUGAAAGGUAACAAUAGCUCCUGCAGUGAGACUAUCGGUUAAUAGUAACUAUAGAGCAAAGAAAAGGAAAAAAGAUGAAGAAGAAUAAGACUAUCACUUGAUACCUUCAUAACUGCAACGUUAGUGUCAAUUCCUUCUACUUUCACUUGUUCCACAGUCGCCUGAGCAGCUUCAGCUCUAUCUGUGUCUAGGAUUGACUGUUUCAGAGCUAUCUCCAAUGGACUCGUCUCUCCAACACAAAAAUCUCCUACGAUUGUCAUUUCUUCACCCAUAUUUGUCCCAGUUUCUAGAUUCAAGCCAAAAUGCUCAAGCAAUUUGAGUGAUACUGGAGAUAAUUUUGAGGGCCAUUUCAUAUACUGAACAGAAUCAACAUCAGAAGGGACAUCAGUGGUUAUACGAGAGACACGACUGGAUAGAGCUUCUAAGACCAUAUCUCCACCGGGGAGACUUUCUGCCAGGUUAAAUAUAAGCAAUGUUUUGUAUUGGGAAGAGAAGACUUGGAAAGCUUCCCUUAUUGCACGGUACCGGAAUAUGCCAAGGAUUGCUCUUGCAAGUAUUUCUGAUCGUUGAACCCCUUUAAAGUUGUAUCUUCGUAUGAACCAUUGUACGCGAAGGAUCUCCAAACAUAUUCCCAACCAGUAGUCUCGACGAGCAUUGCCUUUAAACUCUGUGAAUUCAAAAUAUACUGGCUCUGGUCUGUACAAACAAUACAAGAUAGAGCAAAAGAUAUAAAUCCAUGAGCACAGAUUUUGUUAAGGAUCAUAAAUGAGACAGACAUAAGACCAUAGUCCACUAGCAUACGUACACUAUAGUUGAUUUAUACAUGAUGGCUUUAUCAAAUAUACGAGCACCCAAUGGCCCUGUUAACUCAGGUUUGAUGACCUGUUUUGUGUCUUCAGUGAGAUCAUAUCGCAUGGCCUUUUCACCACCACCCAUUGAAUCAAAAUAUAGAGCAUAGUUGGUAAGUGUCAGUUUACCUACAAAAGGAAAUGCUUUAUAAAUAUUGAGAUGGAAACAAAACCAACCAACUUAAACCACAAUUUUCAGGUUUCUCCUUUUGCUUAAGGUAUGAUAUACUGCCAAUGUAGAAGAUGGACUAUAUGCAGAGAUCUCUCCAGAAGUUUACCAGGCCAUGCUGAGAUGCCCACGUGUUUAAGAACCGGUAAAACAGGAUUUGCACCAUCCAUAUCAAGCACUAUUUCUCCCUUGGCAAGCUGAAGAUUGGCAGCUGAAGGUCCUAGAGUGCUUUUUGCAGCCUUGAAAAUUCUACAAAUAUACGAAGGGCAAGGAAAACAAUAAGAGGAAAAGAAAACCGAUAUUUUGAGGAAAUAGACAUCCGCAAGAAAUUUUGGGCACAACAUCUCUCAGUGUAUUUAUUUCAUUCUAAAUCGAGGCCGUGAUAUCCAAAAAAGAUUCAUUCCUGCUUUGUACAUUAACUGAGCCACAGAAUAUUUUUUAUCAUCCUCAACGUUAGCAUAUAAUAUAAAUUAGCAAGCAAUACUCUUUUGACGUCUGAAUAAGUAAAAUGGAUACUAGAGAUGUAUACUCAAGUAUUUUUUUUUACGGUAAGUAGACUCAAGUAUUAAAGUACCAAAAAAAGAAACGAAAAUUUUAAAUCACCUACGAUUUAUAACACUUAGACAAUAAACGAGUAAACAAAUGCAGAAAAGCAAAGGACUGAAAAAAGUAGUGGUAAGUUCAUACUUGUCAAGUGUGCGGAUAUAUUUGUCAUAUACGAUAAAAUGAAGCCUGUGGCCUGACGAGCUAGUCAGUGCAUCAAAAAGAUUAUGUACAGUUAUUGCAUCUGCAAUGGCAGGACAAACCGGAGCAAUUCUUGCAAAAGCCUCCUGUCCUACAGACUUUUUUUCAUCAACCUAUCAAGCAUAUUUUUCAGGGGGAAAGUCUGUUAAGUCCUUCCAAUUAUGACUAAUGCAGAAGCAAAGGAAGUCUAAGAUGGUAAUAACCUGCAUUGCCAUAUUUGUGGGACUUGAAUAGAAUAGCGACCACCCAUCCUCAUCCUCUGAGUCCUGCUUGGAGGGAGAUGCUGCAUCCUGAACUUGGCAAAGUUGAGAUACAAAGCAUAAAUCCAUAUAUUUCCAUUUAUAAAACUACCAACAUGGCAAAUAAGAUAGAUUUCUCACUUUGUUUUCCUGCUCACUUGUGACACUGGGAGUCUCCCAGGCAAGCAUCAUGUCAAACAAUAGCUGACGGAACUCUUGAUCACUUAAGUAAUCAGGUUUUUUCAUCACUUGAUGAAGUGCCUGAAAAGAGCAGAACUCUAAAAAGUUCCUUGCAUAUGUCAAGAGUUGCUUAACACUCUCAGGCAACUCAACAUCAAAAUGAUGUUGCAGAUCUUCUGUUGGAAUGUUAAGGAUCCUGAAAUUACCAAAAAACAAAAUCCAUCAAAAAUUUCCUCAAUCAAUUAACACAACAGACAUUCCAAGCUCUCAUUACCCUAAACAGUAAGGAAUAAUCACAUCGCGUAAAUUCCAAACAAUAAUGAUUAUGCGAUCGCAAGUAUAGCCCAGGAUCUGAAACGUAUAUGAAUCUCGAAACUGUUAAAGAAUCUGAGGAUUGAAGAGAGUGUACUUUGAACAGCGUGAGACGACGGAAUUGGCGAGAAGAGAGAGCUGAGGAAUAGGUUUCGGGGAAGCGAUAGGCGACGGAGAAGCAUCUCCAUCACGGCCAGAUGACGAUUUCUUCCUCUGGAAUAACGAUUUCAAAGAACUCUGCUGCGUCCUCAUGAAAUUCUCCAGCACUCCGACUUUCGCACCGCCGCCACCGUCUUCUUCCAUCGGAAAUCACCACAAUUAAUCAGAUCAGACAGAAUUGGUAAUCGUAAACCUAGAUUGCUUCUCCGAUUCAGAUUCUUCUCUUUCCCGUUCAAGCUGUCGCAGACUAUGAAGUAUCUCUCAUAGUCUAAUCUGCACGCUUUGCAGUUUUCGUUAUUGAGAAAGAACCUUCGAUUUUUAAUUAACCAAGAGCCAUUAUUAAUUAAUGUCUCUAACUCUAAUCAAACCGCUCAAUUAUUUUAUGAAAACCGAACUAAACCCAACUCUGUAACAUAAACCGUUUGGUUAAUGUGGGUAAAUAACCAAAGAACCUCAACUUUUUUAUUGAAAAGAGAACAAUGUUGAUCUACACGACCACUGAUUAUGGUCUUCUACUCUUCUUUUACUUUCUUUUGUUUUUGUUGCCUAGAGAGAAGAAUCAAAACAGGAGAGAAUAACUUGUAACGCUGACUGACUCCAUUGUUGUUGAUCUUCUAAAGCUUGGAAUUGUUACUGAGAGGCGGGUCUUUGGCCCAGAGAGGCGGGAUGAUUCUAUGGUCUUGCACCGGCGGCUCUUCUUCCUUUUUCUCGGUUUUCUCUUCAUCCUCUGUAACUGAUUUAGAGAAUGCAUCCGGAUUUGCUUUGAUACAGCUUUGCAACGCUACAAAUGGAUGCACACAGUCUGAUCCCUGCAACAACAAACAACACAUACAAUAUCCUUGAGUGAAACUUCUUUUCUCUAAAUGGCGCAAAAAUGUUUUAACGAAAAAACAACUAUCGCCAAUGUUUAUGAUCAUUUGAGUUGAGUCUUAUAAAGGGCACAAAACGUAAAUAAAAGAGAAACAUCAAUGUGUCAAUCUUAGGAGCGUUUUGGUUGAGUUUCCAUCAUACAUCUGAUGUUUCAAGCAUUUCAGUUGAGGUUACAUCAUUCUAAACAAUCUAAUAUGUUCAGUUAUGGUUUACCUUUUCUUCAGCAGUACUCUUGAGAAAGCAAAGGAAUGCCUCGGAGAACUGAGAGCCGCAAGAGCCAUUACGCAAAUCUGCUAUGCAAGGACAAUCGAGAGCUCUCUGUGCCUUCGCUUCAAGCGACUAAAGGAUUUGGUAUUUGUCAGAUAACUCGGUAAUUCAAAAAGCUAGCGAUUACUUAAUAAGAACAAAGUUGAAAGAAUAACCUCAUUCUCAUUAUCAUCCUCACCAUAUGCAGCAGCUUCUGUGAUAUUGAAGAGAGUACAACAAUGUCAAAUAUCCCAGUCUAAAGUAACUGUUUCUUGAUGAUACAAUGAAAGAAUCAAAAGCUUUCUUGACAAAACUAGACUAGAAAAUUAUAUUCCUAUAGAAACUACAUAGACAAAGACUUGAGAAUCUUCUUUUUAAGCAAGAACAAGAUUUUGAAUAGAUACUAUAUAGAGAAAGGCAAAUUCAAUACUAUACCAUUUCAUCAUCAUCACCGAUCAAGCAUAGAACUAAACAAUUCCAAUUUCACAAAGCUUGCCUAGGGAAACGAAUACUGUUCUCUCUCAAUCGAGAUACAUAACACACACAAAAACGAACCUGCGAGGAGAGAAUCCAUCGAUGGCGACGAAGUAUCUUCAGAAUCCCGCGGCGAAUUCGCAGAAGGAGGAGGAGGAGUGUUCGUCGUCGUCGUCGUCGUCGUCGUCGUCGUCGUCGUCGUAGUUGGAAUUGAGUUCUCGUCACUCUGAGCUUGACCCAUCUCGAGAAAAUGUGGCAAAACCUCUCGAAGAAUUUGGUUAGCCGCCGACGAGAAAGCAGAUCCCUCAAAAGAAAUGCGUCGACGUUACGGUUCCAAUCUGAAUUUCCCAAAAAUCGGAAUUAAACUAAGGCCCAGAUAAGUCAAAACGGGCCGGGCUUUCAAUUUUGUUUAGUGUUUAUUGGGCUUGAAUUUGAAAGUUCUUGUCUUCUUCUCAAGUGAUGAUCUUUUUUUCAUAUUCUAGUCUCUUUUUUUUUUUUUCCGAAAACCAGAUGAGCCCAUAUUGAAAUGAAAUCCACAAUACAUUCCUGAAUUUACAAUUGUUUUACCAUUUAACCAUCUAAUGUAGUGGAAAUUUUGAAUAAGUUUUUCUUAAAUUCCACAUGAGAGAUGUGAAGUUUUAAUUAACAGAUUAAUACUUUUAUAUAAGUAGUACGAUGAGAUCAUUUAUUUAUUGUCAAUUAAUUUUGAGUUGAAAAUUUUAAUUUUAUAUUGAUACGAAUACCUAAUAAAACCAAACAAAUACAUAAACGAUCGAAAAAAGAGUGGAAUUCAGUUAAAAUAUAGGAGUUAGAAGAAUCAUCAUCUUGAAAAGGCGUACACUAGAUGUUAUCCUAGUUAUUGUCAACUAAUUUUGUGAUUCUUUGAAGUUUUUCGUUAAUCUUUCUAUUAUUCUUGAUCGUCAUUAUUCGACAUUUCUUUAUUUUCAAAAGAACCACAAAGAAAGAAAAGUUCAAUUUUUCGCAACGAUGAAACAAACAGCAAAAAAGAAAGUAUAAUGAAUUGAAUCUUAGGUUGUCAAAGUGAAUGUAGGGUCAAACUUUAUAAUAGAAAACCCAGAAACACAAAAAUGGCUUUGUGGAACCCUAUCGACAUAUAUUAACAAGUAACGACUCCCAUUAUCAUCAAUUCUGGCUGUCAAUAUCGACACACUUUUCUCUCAUUCAAAUUUUGAAGACCUUUCGUAACUUAAUUAUAGAUUAAGGAUUAGUGCAUACUAUUUCAUUAACUUUUGUUGGAGAUUUUAGAAAACUAAUGAAAAGAUUCUAAAUAAUCUAAUGUUCUUUUUCCUCUUUCUAAUAAUAUAUUGGUUAUUGAUUUUAAAAUAUGAGAUAAUGUUUAAAAUGAAGAUCACUAGAAAUUUUAAUUAAAAUAAAUUAGUAGUUAUUUUAAAGUACUACAAAAAAUUAUUUGUAUUAUAAUAAUUGUUUGGACAUUAUCAAAUUCACGUUUAGUCGGAGAGCCUUCGAGGUAUUAAUUCACCGGUAUAACGGAUUGAUGAUACUUAGCCGAAGACUAUAUCUUAGAUGAUAACAUAGCUUUGCACACAAAAAAGAUGAUAACAUAGCUUUGAUUUCAAAACGAUAAAGAUGUAGUUUCGGAUUAUGUCUUAUGCGAAUUAUGCUAGUUUUUUAUACAAUUCACGAAAAUACUUGAUGUAGCAUAUAAACAUAUCGCAUUCCAAAUCGGAAAAAUGAUAUAUUAUCAAGCUUGUAUUCUUGUAGUUUGUAGUAGUAGAUAACUCAAAUUCGAAAUGGCUUGUGUGUCUAUGUCAUGUGAGUUAUAUAUGUAUAUGCUUGGUUAUGUCCUACAUGGACCAUUCUUCCAUCAAGCCGCAAUUGACGCUUUUAAAAUACACUUGAGAGAAAGAAAAACUUAAAACAAAUCGAAAUCAAAGCCUUACAGCAAAGAAACAGCAACUAAGGUCGUAAAACAACAAACUUGCCAAAGAAAAAAAAAAACAAACUUUCAACAUUAAAUUUUUAUAUUUCAAUUUAGCUAAUGUUCUCUAGAUUUCGAUCGACAUAAUCAUAUCUAUUGUCGCCAUGACGAAUUGAACUUGAUUACAAAAAAUAUCGUACUCGCUGCCAAAAAAAAAAAAACGUUUAUCAAUCAAUACGUAUCAAAUGAUUAGAAGCUGACUUAAGAGCUCAUAGUUUAGUAAAAACUAAGUAGUACGUAGAUUGUUGAUGACGGAUAUGUAUAUCAUACAUAUAGAAAAGUAAAUUAUGUUUUAUACUAUUUGAAAGUAAAUAUUUAAUGAGAUAGUGAGUAAAUAAAAUGUAACCUGAUACAUUACUAAAUUAUAAACAAUGUUAUGGAAUAAAUUUUGAAACUAGAGUUACUAAAUACUAAACGUUAAAUUGAAAAUUCUUAGAUAAUCAAGAUCACUUUGAAAUGUAUCGUUUUAAGUCAACAGAAAUAUAAUGACGUAUGAUGUGAUAAAUAAUCAACAGUGCGUCAAGUUGUUAAUGAAUUAUUUAGAGUUGAAUUAUCAUUUCUAACAUUUUAUUGGUUCAUAACAAAGUUGUCUUUGGUGACCACAUAAUUGAUGGGAUUGGGAGCUGUGUUAUUGUCGAUUACAAAAAUAAACUUUGUAGUAUUUCUUAGCAAUGCAAUGAAAACAAAAUUGUUAUAUUAAUAAGGAUUUGUUUACUUUAGGGGAAAAAGGUCAAUAAAUUGAGAAUGAUGGUUUUAAAUCCUUGAUAAAUAUGAGUUGCAUAUUUCGACGACCCAUAUCUAAUGUUUUAAUUUCCAUCUUGAUUUGUCUUAUAACUAUAUCAAAGUUGAUUAAACAACAAGUUACCAAAAUUAGCAUUGCUAUAAAUAAUACUUUGAUUGCCCAAAAUUUUCAACCACCCAUCUCUUAAUUUGUCUUAUAAUAUGAAAGUAGAUUUAUCUCAAAUCAACAGGUUGGCAAAAUGAACAUCGCUAAUAUUUCAACGAUCUAAUAGUAUCCUAUCUCCUAUCGCAACCUCAUCCUCGAAUGAUAAAAAGGUUUGGUGUUCACUGGUUAAUCAAAUCCGAAUCUAUAAAUGUAACUCAUUUUAUUUUCCUAUCAAUAGGAAUCCUUAAUAAAUAACACGUAAUUACGAUUAUCAUGCUAAUUUCAAAAAUGAUCAACUCCAGUAUUUAAUAGAAAUCGAUAGUUCAACCAACAUAACAAACUAUUUAAACUAUAGUCGCCUAGUUAUCGUCUAUUAAUUUCCUUUUUAGACUUAAUUUUGUGGAUUUUAAUCAAAAUCUAUCCACACCUUUACCACAAGUGUAAGACUACUAUUCAAUAACAUAUUUAAAAAGUCGACCGAAUACCUUUUACAAACAUAUCUAACCCAAAUUUAACAACUCUAUUUGAAAUUAUUGUAUAUAGCGAAUGGUUUAUUGAUUAUCACUUUUAUUAUGAGACAUAUAGUGGCCUAUAUCACGAAUUCACAUGAAUUUAUUAAUGAUGCUCUCUUGAGAGCUUGAAACAAAAAGAAGAUAGAAGAAUGGUUAUUAUGUAAAAAAAUGUAAACAAUUUUUUUUCAAACUGAUUUGCGCUCCAACGUUCGAAAACAAAAUUGGGAUCCUCGUGAAUCCAUCCAACGGUCACAAUUCUCCAUGUGAAUCUCUUCAAGACUUUUUGUGUAAAAAUUUCAAAUCAAAAUUGUUCUCCUUUUUCACCACUGCUAUAAGUAAAGGUGGAUAAUUUUUUCAAGAUCCAACCAAAGACUUAUUCCACCAAUUCCCAAAUUUUUUUUUUGAUUAAAGUGAAAAGAAAAUAACUUUUUGCAGCUCUCUUUUUUUUUUUGUUUGAUAUCAUUAUAAUACCUUCCUGUCUAAGUGAAGGUACAAUAAUAAAACAGUUUCUGUUCACUCUACUUUAUCCCAAUUCGAGCCAAAGUUAACUCUUGUCAGAUCCUUUUGUCUGAAAAAAUCUUAUUUUUAACCAUUUUUUCGUUAAACUGAUCAAAACCCAUUAUCCCAAAAUGCAAAACCUGAAAUGGGUUUUGAAUCUCUUGUUUGUUUCUUCUCUUGUUCAUAAUUUUGUUCACUCAUCAUCACAACAAGUAAUCUGUUCAAGCCAAGACAGAGAAACACUUCUGGGUUUCAAGUCAAGUAUCAUCCAGGACACAACUGGAGUUCUAGAUUCAUGGGUUGGUAAAGAUUGUUGCAAUGGAGAUUGGGAAGGUGUUCAAUGCAAUCCGGCCACCGGAAAAGUCACCGGCUUGGUGUUACAAUCCCCAGUGAACGAGCCUACUCUUUACAUGAAAGGUACAUUAUCACCUUCACUGGGUAAUCUCCGAUCUCUUGAGCUUUUGUUCAUCACUGGAAACAAAUUCAUCGCUGGUUCGAUCCCCAACAGCUUCUCUAAUCUCACCAGUCUUCGUCAGCUCAUACUUGAUGAUAAUUCUCUCCAAGGCAAUGUUCCUUUUGCUUUAGGCCAUCUUCCAUUGUUGGAGACUCUCUCUUUAGCUGGGAAUCGCUUCUCAGGUCUUGUCCCGGCGAGUUUUGGAAGCUUGAGAAGCCUUACUACGAUGAAUUUGGCUCGAAAUUCCUUCUCCGGUCCAAUUCCAGUGACUUUCAAGAACCUCCUCAAGCUUGAGAAUCUUGAUCUCAGCUCCAAUUUGUUAUCUGGACCAUUCCCAGAUUUCAUAGGCCAGUUUCUGAAUUUAACCAAUCUUUAUCUCUCCAGCAACAGAUUAUCCGGGGGGUUACCAGUUUCUGUUUACGGCUUAAGGAAGCUUCAGAGCAUGUCGUUGGAGCGUAAUGGUCUGACCGGACCACUCUCGGAUCGAAUCAGCAAUUUGAAGUCACUCACUAGCCUUCAGUUAAGCGGCAACAAGUUCAUCGGUCACAUACCAGCAUCCAUUACACAACUGCAGAAUCUUUGGUCUCUCAACCUCUCGAGAAACCAGUUCUCUGAUCCUCUGCCCGCGGUUGUAGGCAGAGGAUUCCCUUCUCUACUGUCCAUCGAUCUUUCCUACAACAACCUUAAUCUUGGAGCAAUUCCAAGCUGGAUCAGAGACAAGCAACUCUCAGAUAUCAACUUGGCUGGUUGCAAACUGAGAGGAACCUUUCCAAAGUUAACAAGACCAACCGCCUUGACCUCGCUAGAUUUGUCUGACAACUUUCUCACAGGUGAUGUUUCAGCUUUCCUCACAAGCAUGACCAAUCUUCAGAAAGUGAAGCUCUCAAAGAACCAGCUCAGGUUCGAUCUCUCCAAGCUGAAGUUGCCAGAAGGAGUCGCGUCUAUUGAUCUAAGUUCAAAUCUAGUGACCGGGUCGCUUUCAAGCCUGAUAAACAACAAGACAAGUAGCUUCUUGGAAGAGGUCCAUCUCACCAACAACCAAAUCUCUGGGAGGAUUCCUGAUUUAGGAGAAAGCUUGAACCUGAAAGUUCUCAACAUAGGGAGCAACAAAAUCAGUGGACAAAUCCCAAGUUCAAUAUCAAACCUUGUUGAACUUGUGAGACUAGACAUCUCAAGGAAUCACAUAACAGGAGUCAUACCUCAAACUAUAGGACAGCUUGCGCAGCUCAAAUGGCUCGACCUCUCGAUCAAUGCACUCACAGGAAGAAUUCCGGAUAGCUUAUUGAACAUCAAGACGAUAAAACAUGCGAGUUUCAGAGCCAACAGGUUGUGUGGACUGAUUCCACAAGGAAGACCAUUCAACAUCUUUCCUGUAGCUGCUUAUCUGCAUAACCUUUGCUUGUGUGGUAAGCCAUUACCAGCUUGCAGGAAGACAAUGAAGUGAAGCCAAAACACACGUUCUCAAGUGGCCAGUCCAACGCUGACUUUAUCUUAAUCCUUAUUACUUUUACUCAUUUCUUCAAAAUAGAUGAUAUCUUCUAUUUGUCUUUUUACUGUUUUCUUACAAUUCUAUUGUUUCAAUCUGAUUCUGUUUUCAUCUAAAUAAAUUAUUAUCAUUUUUAAUCAACCAGCAAAACACAUAAGCAAAGGAUUCUAAACGAAACGAAACUUUCGAUUCCAUAGCAUUGGUAAAACAAAAAAAACAUAAGCUUCAUUACUUGUCUAAACAAAAUGUUCCAUGAACUACAAAAAAAAAAAAAAAAAAAACCACUUGCUCACAAUCUUGGCUUCAAUGCAUCACAAUGAUUAGAGAUAAAUCCAUUUCAAUAAAGAUUAGAAACCCAAGAACGAGCCUAACAUUUCUAGUAAUCAUCCAAAAUCUCUUCUUCCCCUUCUUUACCUUCAUCAUCUGUGUUCUCUAACUUCCAUCUCCUCAGCACAUCAUCAGCUUGUUUCUCCUCAGCUUCAUUUGAUUGCUUCUCCUCAUCCUCCACCUGAAACAGUCAUCAAAUCAUCUUAACACUCAAGAUUCCAUGUAAUAGAAAGAAGACAACCCAUAAAUUAUGAAAAAAAACAUACUUGCUCAUUAGCAUCAUUGUUCUCCAGUGCCUUGUUAUACUCUGCCUUAAGUUGAGCAGCUUUAACCAGAUAAAAUUUCUUCUUCUAAAUGAUCAAAGAACAAAAACCAGAGUUAAAAAAGCAGUAAACAAAUCACCAUGAAAUUAAGAAAGAAACAAAAGGAUAACAACAACAACUCACUUUCUCAGUCAAAGACUUCCACUUUUCAACACCAUGCUUUGCAAGCUAGAAUCAUCAUAUAUAUACACAUAAAACAGUAAUAUUAACUAUCAACAAAAGUAAGUAUGUGACAAUUUAACAGUACAUGAAGAUAAGGAAGGCAGUAGGAGGUCGUCGCUGUCGCUUGUUUGUGGUAAAAGUAAGAGGAUUAGGUUCAUCAGAUGUUGCCUUCUUCCUAAAAAAAACACAAACAAUAUUAGAAACUAAAGAUAUCACAUAGAAACUAGUGAGAAGCCCUAAUCUCAAUCACUAAAUCUGGAAAAAAAAAAAAAAAAACCUAAAUCGAACAAAAUUUGAAACACAAAUCCAUUUGAAAAGAAGUAUCACCAGCUAGCGAAAACACUGCCAUCUUUAGUGCGACAUAAGGUAUUCGCUUCGAGUCUCUUACUCGACGAUGAUCCAGCCAUAUUUUACUUUUUUCUCGGACUCGUAAGAUGAGAUCAAAAUUAUUUCUUGCUCGAGGAAUCGAUUCGAUGAGAAAGGUUUCAGAGACUCACUCUGGUAGAGAAGAAAAAGGAGAGGGAAACGAAACUUGUUUUCUUCUAGUUAUACAUAAAUGGGCCAAACCUACGAACCUAUGGGCUUUUUAAAGCCCAUAUUCGUAUCAUUGUCUAUUUUUUUGUAUAUACUACCUUAAUCCAUUUCAAUAAGACUAGACACCCAAGAACAAGCAUAACAUGUUUAGUAGUCGUCAUACAAAAUCUCUUGUUUACUUCAGCUACUUUGUUGUCAUCUAUUCAUCUGUUUGUUUUAACUUCUUUGUCCUCAGCCUCAUCAGAUAAACUACUUUCACGAUAUUAAAAGGCUACAUUUACAAUGCAUCACAACGAUUAGAGAUCAAUCCAUUUCAUUAAAAGACUAGACCCACAAGAACAAGAAUCACAUUUCUAGUAGUCAUCCAAAAUCUCUUCUUCUUUACCUUCAGCUACUUUGUUGUCAUCAUCUGUUUCCUUAACUAACUUCUUUGUCCUCAGCCUCAUCAGUAUCAUCAAAUUCCUCAUCCUCAUCCACUUCCUGAAAAAAAUCAUCUUAACACUCAAGAUGUAAUAGAAAGAAUAACUAAAGGACAAGCCAUUGAUUAUGAAACUCCUACUUCUUCAUCAUUAGCCAUAAGUUCAGCAGCUUUAUCCACAUAAACUUUCUUCUCCUAAAUGAUCAAAGAACACAAAGUUAGAAGACAGUAAGCAAAUCACCAUGAAACUAAUGAAGAAACUAAAGCAAACUCACAUCCUCAGUCAUAGACUUCCACAUUUCCCAACCGAUCUUUGAAACCUACAAUCAUAUAUACACAUAGCAAACUAUAGUAAACCUCAUAAACACUAAACACAGUACUCAAAGCAUAGCAAUGAACUCAGUUAUAAAGUCUUACCUCCUUCACCAAUGAACCAUUGUAAUCUGUUCUAAAACUUUUACGGAAACCAUUCCUGCAAAAGUGAAAGGGCAACAUCCAUUAGCAUCAUCCCUAAACAAAAGAAAGUGUGGUUACAAUGAACAUUACAUGAAGAUAACGAAGCCGGUAAGAGGUGGCCUGUUUGAGUCCUUGGCCUUUCUGCGUCUCUUAGCCUGAGAUUCUGCCUCCACAGCUUGAGCUGCUGAACAAGAACAAAAUCCACAGAGAUUAUGAGAACACUGACAACACAAAACAGAGUAAGGAGGGGAAACAACCAAAGAGAUGAUGAUUACCCUGAUACACUGCGAAUCCGUAUCUAGCAUAACAAAUGUGCAUCCUUACAAGAUCUUCAGGAAUUUUCUUGUUACAGCCUUCACUGAAUUUUCAACGCCAAACAAGAAGAAAAAAAAAAACUUGUGAGAAGCCCUAGAAAGAAAUCCCAAUCGCUAAAUCUGGAGAAAAAAAAAAAAAUAGAUUCAAAGAGAUUAAAGAAGACGAAAUCACCAGCGAAUGAAAAAACUGCCAACUUUAGACGAUGCGUCUGCCAUAUCUUACUUUCUAUCGGUCUCGUAAGAUCGAAUAAGAGAGAAAUCUGUCUGACUCGAGGUAGUGAUUCGAUGACAAUAGGGUUUUAGAGACUCUCUCCUGGCCAGAACCAAAAAAAUAAAAAGGAGACUUUGAAAAAAGGACUUAUGGGGCAAAAAAUUAAAUGCGUCUUUGAUCUAACUUGACUAAAAAAGAAAAUCCCUUAUAUAUUAAUUGAGAAGCAUUUUUUAAAAAUAACAUUACCCUUGUGUGAUUAACGAAAAUGCCAUGCUGACGUGUCGUUCUCACAGAGCUUCUCAAUCCAUUUAAUUAAAGACCCAACAUUUAUUAAGAUAUUUACAGAUUUUGCCAUUAGUUUUAGUUAUGUUUAUUUUUCUAAUUAAUUUAUGCUUUUUAUUUAGCUCAAUUAAUUAAAACGAAAAUACAAUUAAAAUAUGUAAUGAAGAGAUACAAAUGUAUACAAAAUGGAGUACCUAAUAUUUUGUGUAUCUAUUAAUAUAACAAGAUAUAUAUCAUGAAUCAUGAUAAACACAACAUUAAUACAUAAAUAAAAAAUUUCACUAAUCUUGAUAAUUAUUAAUACACUAUUGUUUAUCUAAUAAUAUAAAAUUCGAACACCUUCAAUAUAAUUAAUACAUUAAAAUAUAUUUAAUAAUCGUUUUGUCCCGCACAUAGUGCGGGUUAUUAUCUAGUUAUACUGUUAAUGGUGAUAGAGAAACAUAGAGAUUUUGCACAUAAAAAAAAAAGACAAUAGGAACUCGAUCGAAUUCCUUAUUGCACCAAACAUUCUUCCCAUACACUUACAUUGUUUCAAUCAACUAGCAAAACACAUAAGCAAUGGAUUCGAAACCAAACGAUAAUUUUCGAUUCUAUAGCAUUAGUAAAACGAAAAACAUAAGCUUCAUUACUUGUUUAAACAAAAGAAAUUACCAUUUCAGUGAACUACAAAAAACCAACUUGCUCACAACUUACCGUCAGAUAAACUACUUUCACGCUAAUAAAAGCUUCAUUUACAGUGCAUCAAAACGAUUAGAGAUAAAUACAUUUCCAUAAGACUAGACCCACAAGAACAAGCACAACAUUUCUAGUAGUCAUCCAAAAUCUCUUCUUCCUCCUCUUCUUUACCUUCAGCUUCUUUGUUGUCAUCAUCUGUUUUCUCAACUUCUUUCUCCUCAGCUUCAUCAGCAUCAUCAGCUUCUUUCUCCUCCGCAUCAUCAACAUCAUCAGACUGCUUCUCCUCAUUCUCCUCCUGAAACAGUCAUCGAAUCAUAUCAACACUUUAAUAAAAAUGAAAAAAGUGAAAGACUACCCAUUAGUUAAAAAAGGCACAUACUUCCUCAUCAGCAUCAUUGCUUUCCAGCGACUUGUUAUAUUCUGCCUUUAGUUCAGCAGCUUUGUCCAGAUAAACUUUCUUCUCCUAAAUGAUCAAAGAACACAAACCAGAGUAAGAACACAGUAAACAAAUUCACCAUGAAACUAAUGAAGAAACAAGAAACUAAAUCAACUCACUUCCUCAGUCAAAGACUUCCACUUCUCACCACCAAUCUUUGCAGCCUACAAUCAUAAAUAUACAUAGCACAGUUUAGUAAAUCUCAUAAACCCUAGACAUAGUACUCAAAGCAUAGUAAUGAGCUCAGUUAAAAGUCUUACAUCCUUAGCUAAUGAACCAUUAUGCUCUGUUUUAAAAGUUUUACGGAAAUCAUUCCUGCAAAGUGAAAGGCAACAUCAGCAUCAUCCCUAAAAAGUAUUCAACAAUCAACAAAAAGCAAGUGUGAAACAUUGAAAAUUACAUGAAGAUAAAGAAGGCGGUAAGAGGUCGUUUAGGCUUGUUUGAAGUAGAAGAGCUCUUCUUCUCAUCAUUGGUUUUCUUAAGUCUCUUUGGCUUAGGUCCAUCAGAUGUUGUCUUCUUCCUGGAACAAAACAAAACAAUCAAAGAAUUCAAUACCACAUAAUACAGAAACCAAUACAUUUAAGUCAGAGGUAAAGGCUUAACGAGUUUUACUUCUCUGCAGGUUUCUUCUUAGCCUCUGCUUGUGUCUCAACAACUUGAGCUUCUGAUCAACAACCAAAUCCACAGAGAGAUUAUGAGAACAGUGAAAACACACAAUACAAUGAGGGGAAAAAACAAAGAGAUGAUUGAUUACCAAGAUUGACUCUGAUUUUAGCAUCGAGACUGCAAUUGUGCAUGCUUAUAAGCGCUACAGCUACACUCUUGUUACAUCCUUCACUGAAAUCGUUUAAAAAUCCACAAAAAACUUAUGAGAAACCCGAUCGCUAAAUCUAUAAAACCCUAAAUCUUAAAAAAAAAACCUAGAUCUCUAAAUUCGAAUCAGAACAUUCCGUCGAUUCAAAAGCUUAAGAAGUAGUAGAACUCACCAGAGAGCGAAAGCGCUUCCGUCUUUAGCGCGACGUAAGGUAGUAGAAGUAUUGGUGCUAGUUUCGGCUUCGACUCUCUUCCUCUGCUUUGGUGCGUUUGAAGUCGUCGAUGGUCCAGCCAUUUCUUCCUUUGCUCGGUCUCGUAAGAUUGAAAAUCUCUGUGGAAAAGUUUCGUUUUCGAUGAGAAAUGUUGGAGAGACUCGGUGGAGAAGAAAAGGGAGGAAAUUGAGAGGGAAACGAAACUUGUUUUCUUAGUGUUAUGGCGCCAACCUAAUCCCGCGAUACUGGAUUUUUAGCUUUUGACACGGAUCGUUGAGCUGGCUCUCGAAUCCACCGUUGAUUUUGUAUAAAGCGUUUUCAUGUACCAUUUCAUUUAUGCGCGGGUUUUCUCUGUUUUAAUGGGCUUUUAGGUUUUGAGGCCCAUUUAUAAGCUUAGAUUUUAUUAGACCCAUAAUUAGUCCGGCCUGAUAUAAAUCUUUUUAUGUUAUAAAUAAUUAUUUUAUUUAUAGUGUAUAUAAAUAUAAAUAAUAGAGAAAGAAUUUAUACCCUCAGAAAGAUCGGGAUAUUGAUAAUAAAGAGAUGAGAGGAGGAGAGAGAUUUCUUAUAACUUCUUAUUGUUGAAGUAUCAAUGGUGAUUUUACAAUGAACGUUUAACGUUCUAUUUAUAGAGAAAAAGAUAAGUUACUAUGCACGCAUAGUGACGGUGGGCUCCACAUGAAAAAUUAUAAACAUCUCACGGCUGCGCAGCCUCAGCCUGAUUUCUUUGACUUUUGUAACACUCCCCCUUGGAGACCAGUGUCACUAUUGUCUUGUGUAACGUCUUCUGUUGCCUCGUUAAAAAUCUUUCUAAGUAAACCCAGUGGGAAAAACCUUAGUAGGUAAAAAGAGUACAACGACGUAAUCUCCCCCUCGAGUGAUUAACUUUACAGAUCGCGUUGAUGGCGCAUUCCAAUAGCAUAGACAUGCUUCUUGAACACCGAGGUAGGUAGUGAUUUUGUGAAGAGAUCUGCAGCAUUGUCACAUGAUCGGACAUAUUUGACUUCAAUGUCUUUAUUCUUCUCAAGUUCUUGGGUGUAUGAAAAGAAUUUCGGAGGGAUAUGUUUGGUUCUAUCACUUUUGAUAUAUCCUUCCUUCGUUUGGGCAACGCAUGCAGCAUUAUCUUCAUAUAGGAUGGUUGGCUCUUUGUUUACGUUGAUCCCACUGCUUGAUUGAAUGUGUUGGCUUAUUGAUCUCAACCAUACACAUUCUCUACUUGCUUCAUGUAGUGCAAUGAUUUCAGCAUGAUUUGAAGAAGUAGCCACAAGCGUUUGCUUCUGGGAACGCCACGAUAUAGCAGUGCCUCCGAUUGUAAAGACAUAUCCAGUCUGUGAUCGGGCUUUAUGUGGAUCUGAUAAGUAUCCUGCAUCUGCAAAACCAACCAUUUGCCCUUUUGAAUUUUUAGGAUAAAAUAAUCCUAAAUUCAUCGUCCCUUGAAGAUAUCGGAAGAUAUGUUUAAUCCCAUUCCAAUGCCUUCUCGUAGGAGAUGAACUGAAUCUUGCCAAAAGAUUAACGGCAAAUGAUAUAUCAGGUCUUGUACAAUUCGCAAGAUACAUAAGGGCUCCAAUUGCACUUAGAUACGGUACUUCAGGACCAAGUAUCUCUUCAUUUUCCUCAUGCGGUCGAAAUGGAUCACUCUCAACGUUAAGUGAUCUAACGACCAUUGGAGUACUGAGAGGAGUUGCCUUAUCCAUAUUAAAACGUUUUAACACUCUUUUGGUGUAUGUGGAUUGAUGAACAAAUAUACCCUUUUGAGUAUGUUCAAUUUGUAGGCCAAGACAAAAUUUUGUUUGUCCGAGAUCUUUCAUCUCAAAUUCCCCUUUUAAAUAGUUUGUUGCUUUUUGUAUUUCUGCUUGAGUCCCAAUUAUAUUUAGAUCAUCAACAUAUACCGCGAUUAUCACAAAUCCGGAUUUUGUUUUCUUGAUGAAAACACAUGGGCAUAUAGGAUCGUUCACAUAUCCUUCUUUCGUUAAAUGUUCACUAAGAUGAUUAUACCACAUUCGCCCAGAUUGCUUUAACCCAUAUAAUGAUCUUUGCAACUUUAUUGCACAUAACUCUUUGGAUUUAGAUUUCAAUGCUUCUGGCAUAUUAAACCCGUCGGGAACUCUCAUAUAGAUAUCUGUAUCUAAUGUUCCAUACAAAUAUGCUGUAACAACAUCCAUGAGACGCAUUUCUAAAUUUUCAUCAGCCGCUAGACUCAUCAAGAAUCUAAACGUUAUUGCAUCCAUAACGGGGGAAUAUGUUUCCUCAUAAUCAAUCCCGGGUCUUUGAGAAAAUCCUUGAGCUACGAGACGAGCCUUGUAUCUCGUAAUUUCAUUUUCCUCAUUUCUUUUUCUAACGAAAACCCAUUUGUAUCCAAUCGGUCUCACAUAUUUACGUGUGAGUACAAUAGGUCCGAAUACAUUUCGCUUAUUGAGCGAAUCAAGUUCGACUUGUAUUGCAUCUUUCCAUUUUAUCCAGUCAUGUCUCUUUUGACAUUCAUAUACCGACUUUGGUUCUGGAUCCUCGUUUUCCUCAUCAAUUUAUUUUGCUACGAGGUAUGAGAAAACGUCAUCGACUUCAUCCAUUUUAUUUCGAUCCCAGAUCUUUCCAUUAUGGAUAUAGUUGAUAGAAAUCUCAUGAUUUCCUUCAGGUUCACGAUUUUCUACAUCAUCAUUAUUCUCAUGAUUUGUCUCCUCCAAAAUAUUUUCAACUAUUUUGGGAGUAUCGGGCUUUUUAGCUUCCUUUCGUUUUCUAGGAUUUUUAUCCUUAGAACCAACUGGUCUACCACGCUUCAGGCGUGUUCUAGACUCACGUGUAUCGUCUGCUUUUCCAUGUUCUUGUGGAAUUUCACUCCGAGCAAGAACAUUUGCAGCUGGAAUAUGUGAUUUGAUUAUCGUUUUAGUAUCUGCAAAAGCAUCAGGUAAUUGAUUUGCUAUACUUUGUAAAUGCAUAAUUCGUCGAACUUCCAGUUCCGACUGUUUCGUAGGAGGAUCAAGAUGUAACAAAGAUGGUACACUCCACUUUAUAUUCUUUCCUACUUGUUUGUUUUCUCCCCCUAGAACUGGGAACUCUUUUUCAUCAAAAUGACAGUCAGCAAAGCGUGCCGUAAAGAGGUCACCAGUUCGAGGUUCUAAAUACCUUAUAAUGGAUGGAGAAUCAUAACCCACAUAUAUCCCUAACCUUCGUUGGGGUCCCAUCUUUGUACGUUGUGGCGGUGCUACAUGCACAUAUACCGCACAACCUAAAAUCUUUAGAUGAGAAAUAUUUGGUUCACGACCAAAUACUAGUUGUAAUGGGGAAUAUUUAUGAUAUGCACUUGGUCUCAUUCGGAUAAGUGCUUCAGCAUGCAAAAUAGCGUGUCCCCAUACAGAGGUUGGGAGUUUUGAUCUCAUGAUCAAUGGUCUUGCAAUUAAUUGCAGGCGUUUAAUUAAAGAUUCAGCCAAACCAUUUUGUGUAUGAACAUGAGCUACAUGAUGUUCUACUUCAAUUCCCGUUACCAUACAAUAAUCAUUAAAAGCUUGGGAUGUGAAUUCACCAGCGUUGUCUAGUCUAACUCUUUUAAUAUGGUAAUCAGAAAACUGAGCCCUCAGUUUGAUUAUUUGAGUUAGAAAUCUCGCAAAUGCCAUAUUUCGAGAUGAUAAUAGACAAACAUGUGACCAUCUGCUGGAUGCGUCAAUUAAUACCAUGAAAUAGUGGAAUGGUCCACAUGGUGGAUGUAUUGGUCCACAAAUAUCUCCUUGAAUUUGUUCAAGGAACUUUGGUGAUUCUUUAUCAAUUUUGGUUGGCGAUGGCCUUAUGAUAAGUUUUCCAAGAGAACAUGCGGCACAUGUCUUUUUAUUCCCAUGAUAUAUCUCUUGGAUUUUCAAUGGGUGUCCAUGUGAGCUCUCUAUGAUUUUUCGCAUCAUCGAGGUACCUGGAUGACCGAGGCGAUCAUGCCAUAAUGUGAAAUCUUCUGGAUUUCUUUUAAUCACUAGAUGCGAUUCGAUUGCACUUAUAUGAGUAUAAUGCAAUCCUGAAGGAAGUUUUGGAAAUUUUUCCAAUAUAAGCCUUUUUCCCGAUUUAUCAGAAGUUAUGUAUAUAUACUUCUUUUCAUUCUCAGUUGUAGACUGAGUAUCAUAUCCUUGAAGGUAUAUGUCUUUGAAACUCAACAAAUUCCUUUUAGAUUUUGGAGAAUACAAGGCAUUUUUUAUGGAAAACUUGGUUCCAUUAGGCAACAUAAAGUUGGCCAUACCAGUUCCUUCAAUCACGUCUACAGGACCUGAUAUUGUAUUGACAAUAAUGUUUGUCGGUUUUAAGUUAGAGAAAUAUCUUUUGUCCUUUAGAAUAGUGUGUGUUGUCCCACUAUCUGGUAUACAAAUUUCUUGAGCCAUUUCCUUGGAGAUUGUUUCAUCCAUUUCUGUGAUUAAGAUAAACAUCAAUAAAAAGAAAGUAAAUUUUAUUCAUAAAAGGAAAACACACAAUAAUUAUACAUUAAAUUGUUGUUAAAACAACAUUAUUUUUCAAAAUAACAAAAGCAUAAUAUUAUAUAUAUGGCAUAACUAGAGACUAUUCCAGCAGUCUCAAUACAAGCUCUUUAGUUAACCGCAAAAGCGGUCUAAUCCAAAUCAUUUGCAAAGGAGGGAGAAUCGAUAUACGAAGUAUCCUCGAAGUUUUCUGCUAAAUUGACUUCUUUCCCUUUUCCUUUCGUGGAAUUCAUGUACAGCUUACAAAGAUGUGGAGGAGUUCGACACGUACGGGCCCAAUGUCCCUUAGAUCCACAUCUAUAACACACAUUCUCACUCUUCUGGGUAGAAUUUUCUUGGUGUUCCUUCCCUUUUGAAUCAUUUUGAGGACGAACCCAUUUGAACGACCCCCUUCCACGUGAGUUGUAAUUUCUUCCACGCCCACGAUUAAAACGACCACCACGACCCCGAUAUGAUUGAUUCCCUUUCUCAGGAUAGUUUACAUCCUUUUUCUCCGGAUUUUUUACAUCCGUUGCAUUCACUUCAGGGAAUGCUUUGGUUCCUGCAGGCCGAGCAUUGUGGUUUUUGAUGAGAAGUUCAUUAUUCUUCUCUGCUAUCAUAAGCGCCACAAUCAGCUUGGAAAACAUUUUGUACUUGCAGUUCCUGUAUUGUUCUGCAAGAACAUAGUGCUCAUUAUGGAAUGUAAGGUAGGUUUUAUUGAGCAUUUCGUCUUCGCUCACUUUCUUACCACAGUAUUCCAACUGAGCCACGAUUCUUAACAUGGUAUAAUUAUACUGUGCUACCUUGUUAAAAUCUAGGAACCUCAAGUUUGCCCAUUCGUCAAGGGCAUGUGGGAGAGUUAUUGCUUUCUGGUUGUCAAACCUAUUUUUUAAAGUUUUCCACAACUCCACGGGGUCUUUUACAUUUGCAUAAUCAUGCAUCAGAUUUUCAUCUAGAUGCUUUCUUAGAAAAAUUAUCGCCUUUGCCUUUUCAUUGGCAGGUGAUUCAUUUUUCUCUUUUAUCGUCUCCAAUAAACUCUGCGAAUCUAAAUGAAGUUCCACAUCAGUGGUCCAUGCUAUGUAAUUCGCUCCAGUGAUUUGAAGAGCUUGGAUCUUAAGCUUUUCAAUGUUUGCCAUUUGUUUUCUAAAAUAAAAACAUGGAAUAUUAUUAGAAAUCUUUAUUUAAUUUAUUUUUAAAACAUAUUUAAAAUGAACCGUUUACAUUAAUAAUGCAAGCGAUUACAAAAAGAAAAAGCGUACAAACAAGUAAACUAAUGUUGAGACGAAAUUCUUGCGGAGUAAAAUCUACAACGCAAAGAUUAUAAAUACACAAAAUAAUUAUUCCAAAAGCAAAUAUUAAAAGUAAUCGAAACAUUCUUCAAAACUUCAAAACUUCAAAAUUCUUCUUCUUUUUUUCGGAGAGAGUUUUUAGAGAGAUGAAAAUUUUUGUUUUGAUGAAAUGAAUGAGAAAAUGAAUGAAUUUAUAGAUUGAAAAAUACUAUUCCUAGCCGUUGGAAAAAGUUGAAUUUUUUGAAAAAAUUUUGAAAUUUUUCUUUGAGACCGUUGGCGGAAAAAUAUUUUUAAAAAAUUAAUCUGAAAAAUUAGAGAUCAAUCUGAUAAAAAUUAUCGAUUCAGAUAAAAAUAUUUAUACAGGUGAAUAAACCAUAAUAUAAACAAAUAAUUCACAGUGAUAUUAUGGUCACGAAGUCAUUCACAUAAAAACAGUAAUAAAUAUGUGGCGGCUCAGCCGACCGGUAGCAGAAAUAAAUAUUUAAAGCAGUGCAUAAAAUUAAGGCGGCUUAGCCGACCGGUAGCAGAAAUAAAUAUUUAAAGCAAUGCAUAAAAUUAAGGCGGCUCAGCCGACCGGUAGCAGAAAUAAAUAUUUAAAGCAGUAAAUAAAAUUUCAGGUGGCUCAGCCAACCAUUGACAGAAAAUAAUUAAUUAUGGUGCAUGAAGUAACAUAUAUAUACAUAUAUAGUUUCUUUUAUUUAUUUAUAUAAUUUUCUUUUCUCUUUUUUUUUCUUUUCUUUUUUUUUUCUCAUAUUUUUUCUUUUAACGAGGCGACAUACCGCCCGGUAUAAUACCUUAUUUUUUCCGGCGAUCAUAGAGUGAUCGUGCUGAUAACGUGUUAUAAAUAAUUAUUUUAUUUAUAGUGUAUAUAAAUAUAAAUAAUAGAGAAAAAAUUUAUACCCUCAGAAGGAUCGGGAUAUUGAUAAUAAAGAGAUGAGAGGAGGAGAGAGAUUUCUUAUAACUUCUUAUUGUUGAAGUAUCAAUGGUAAUUUUACAAUGAACGUUUAACGUUCUAUUUAUAAAGAAAAAGAUAAGUUACUAUACACAUAUAGUGACGGUGAGCUCCACAUAAAAAAUUAUAAAUAUCUCACGGCUGGACAGCCUCAGCCUGAUUUAUUUGAUUUUUGUAACAUUUUACAUAUAAUUAGAAAAUGAUUGAUUUUUAAAUAAAGAAUAGUAAAAAGUUGAUAACGGUAAAAGUGAAAAAGGCUAUAAGGAAGAUGGAUAGGCAUGUGGGUGUGGUGCAGAAGUGAGAAGACUUUUGAAGGGUUUUAGGGUGAUGGGAAGGUGAAAUAUACUAAGCAGUUCUCUCGCUUACUGUGCCACCACCACCACCAACGUCAGAGAAUCUCAGCCCCAAUACUCUUCUCUUCUCUCUCUUUCAAAUCUCUCUUUUUCUUACUCAUUUUUCUACACAUUUUUACAACUUUCAGGCAUUUUUUUUUCAACAGUAGAUUAAUUAUUAAAAUUUAAUAUCAUAAACUCCCUCUCUCCAUAAAAGAAGUAAAACGGUAGAUUGAUAUAUAUCUCAUACACUAAAACAUAAAGAAGAUGAUGAUUAACUUAAAUAAAAGCUGUUAAUAAUAACCUAAUACAUAGAAGAAUAACAACAAGCCAAGAAAACAUACAUAUUUCACAAAAGUUGAUAAAGAAACCAACAAGAAAAUACAUAUUCUCAUAUGAAUGUAAUGUUACGUUGUCCUUUUUUGGUUAAAGAGAGUCGAAGUUAAGAGAAUAGCUGAGAGGAUCGUAGUUGAAACUGACUUGUCUCUUAUUCUUGUUGUGUCUUGGUGAUCUCAUCUUCUUCUUCAUCUUCUUAAUCUCGGCUUUGAUUCUCCAUAAAAUGCUCUUUAUCAGCUUCUUCUUCUUCUUCAUCCCAAGCUCCAUUACCAUUACGCAUCCCAUUUUCUUUUGCUUUUUUGGUCGAAAGUUAGAAUUGAGAGAGAUAGAGAGCUGCAAGCCUUGCAAAGAAGGUCAAAAUGUGGUUAUGCAAUAAAACUAUGGAGAGGGAAGACUACUUAUAAAAGAAAGCACUAUCUCUGUCUUUGUUGUUAGAGCUGUACCAAGAGGAGAAGUGAUGUUGACCUCUCACUUUUAAAUUCUUAUUUAUUAUUAUGACUAUCCAUAUCUACACGUGUAGACUUUUUUUUUAUCUCUCUAAUCUUCUGUUGUUG